rnacentral:rRNA from 1 species
GGCGGGCCAUUAAGUCAGGGGUGAAAGUUUGCAGCUCAACUGUAGAAUUGCCUUUGAUACUGAUAGUCUUGAAUUAUUGUGAAGUGGCUAGAAUAUGUAGUGUAGCGGUGAAAUGCAUACAUAUUUCAUAGAAUACCGAUUGCGAAGGCAGAUCACAAACAAUAUAUUGACGCUGAUGGACGAAAGCGUGGGUAGCGAACAGGAUUAGAUACCCUGGUAGUCCACGCCGUAAACGAUGGAUACUAGCUGUUCGGCUUGCGGACUGAGCGGCCAAGCGAAAGUGAUAAGUAUCCCACCUGGGGAGUACGUUCGCAAGAAUGAAACUCAAAGGAAUUGACGGGGGCCCGCACAAGCGGUGGAGCAUGUGGUUUAAUUCGAUGAUACACGAGGAACCUUACCAGGGCUUAAAUGUAGAUUGACAGGUUUAGAGAUAGACUUUCCUUCGGGCAAUUUACAAGGUCCUGCAUGGUUGUCGUCAGCUCGUGCCGUGAGGUGCCAGGUUAAGUCCUAUAACGAGCG